UAUUAUUAUAAAUAUAAAGUUAAAACUUGGGUAGUAAUAGUUAUGUUCUUGAAACCCAAAGAAUUUGGCGGUAUUUUAGUCCUUUUAGAGGAAUCUGUUCUGUAAAUGAUAUUACACGAUUUAUUGUACCUUCUUUGGUUUCAGCUUAUAUACCGUCGUCAUAAGAUUAUUCUGUAUUGAGGAUAAUAAAAUUUCUUUAUUUUUAAUUUUAAAUUAUGUCAGAUCAAGGUGUAGUUUAUGGGAAGGGGUGAAAUGGAUUACUUUGAUUAUAAUUUUUGGAUUGAUUUAGGUAUGGAAAUGAUGAAAAUGGAUUUAAUUGUAAAUUAAUUUUGAUUGAUUAAUUGAUUAGGGCUCUGAAAUGUGCACAUAUCGCCCGUCGCUCUCGUUAAAAAUGAG
rnacentral:rRNA from 1 species